GAUGAACGCUGGCGGCGUGCCUAAUACAUGCAAGUCGAGCGAAGCGCGGACGGGUGAGUAAAACGUGGAUAACCUCCUAUAAGACUGGGAUAACCUCGUGGAACCGGUGCUAAUACCGCAACUUAUAGCUGGAUGCGCGCUGCAUUAGCUAGUUGGUAAGGUAACGGCUUACCAAGGCAACGACGCAUAGCCGACCUGAGAGGGUGAUCGGCCAAACUGGAACUGAGACACGGUCCAGACUCCUACGGGAGGCAGCAGUAGGGAAUCUUCCGCAAUGGGCGAAAGCCUGAUGGAGCAACGCCGCGUGUGUGAUGAAGGGCUUCGGGUUGUAAAGCUCUGUUAGUAGGGAAGCGUUACCUAAUCAGAAAGCAACGGCUAACUACGUGCCAGCAGCCGCGGUAAUAC
rnacentral:rRNA from 1 species